rnacentral:rRNA from 1 species
GCCUAAGGUUUCCUGAGGAAGGCUCGUCCUCUCAGGGUUAGUCGGGACCUAAGCCGAGGCCGAAAGGCGUAGGCGAUGGACAACAGGUAGAUAUUCCUGUACCACCUCAUGAACGUUUGAACGAUGGGGGGACGCAGUAGGAUAAGGAAUGCGCACGGAUGGAUGUGUGCGCCCAAGCAGUGAGAAAGUCGGAUAGGCAAAUCCGUCCGAUAAUUUCAAGCUGUGACGGGGAGGGAAAUAGAGUACCGAAGUUCCGGAUUUCACACUGCCAAGAAAAGCCUCUAGUAAGUUCAUAGGUGCCCGUACCGCAAACCGACACAGGUAGGCGAGGAGAGAAUCCUAAGGUGAGCGGGAGAACUCUCGUUAAGGAACUCGGCAAAAUGACCCCGUAACUUCGGGAGAAGGGGUGCUCCUUUAAGGAGGAGCCGCAGUGAAUAGGCCCAAGCGACUGUUUAGCAAAAACACAGGUCUCUGCGAAGCCGAAAGGCGAAGUAUAGGGGCUGACACCUGCCCGGUGCUGGAAGGUUAAGGGGAAACGUUAGUGCUUCGGCACGAAGCGUAGAACCGAAGCCCCAGUAAACGGCGGCCGUAACUAUAACGGUCCUAAGGUAGCGAAAUUCCUUGUCGGGUAAGUUCCGACCCGCACGAAAGGUGCAACGACUUGGGCACUGUCUCAACGAGAGACCCGGUGAAAUUAUACUAUGCGUGAAGAUGCGCAUUACCCGCGACAGGACGGAAAGACCCCGUGGAGCUUUACUGUAGCCUGAUAUUGAAUGUUGGUACAGCUUGUACAGGAUAGGUGGGAGCCAUCGAAGCGUGAGCGCUAGCUUACGUGGAGGCAACCGUGGGAUACCACCCUGGCUGUACGAACCUUCUAACCCAGGGCCGU